ACUUUCCCACUCUUGCCGUUCAUAACGUGUCCACCCAAAAACUGCCUUCACUUUUGUUUUUUCCGGAAAUCUCUAUAAUCAAGGAAUUAAACUAAAACCUAACUUUGCCGAGCCUUUCCUACGAGUUUUUUUUGCCCGUACUUCCUAUCUCCAGGAUUAUUUUGCAUAGUGAUUGUGUGAUUGAUGUAUGUUUUUUUUUCUUUCUGUGUUGUUGUGUUGCAGAAAUUAGGAGCCCUGAAAUCUCUUACAAUCUGGAAUUUGAGUUCUGUAUCUGAAACAUGGGGUUUGUGCAACUACAUUCUCCCUGGGUUUCCAUGAUUUUUCAGAAAAGUGAUUCCUACAGUAGAUGAAUUAUUUCGGCACCGCAUGUUUUCUUUCUUAAGUUGCGCAUGACGUGUUUGCUAAAACGCCUUACUAAGAACGAAGGUCUAUUAAAAUCCAGAUCUAACAGCCUUGAAUCCUUUAGGAAAAAUGGUGGAUUCUUUCCUGAAUGUGGUGGGUCAUUUUCUGAAUAUGAAUCCAACCGUCGAUUUAGUAAUUUAACGGUAAAAAAGUCGGUUUGAGCGGGAUAGCUACCCACAAAACGGUGCGGGAUAGCAUUGUCUAUGAGUUAAUGGUGAUAUGACUGAUUCUGAAAACAACAGUUGUUGGUGGAAAAGCUCACAUGUGUGGAAAUGAACUGAGACCAAAGAAUGAGACGAAGCAGGAAAUAAUAGCAAUCUCAUCAAUUCAACCAAACAGAAAUGAUCCCGUGCCUGUCAUCCAACUCUCUUGGCAGCGAAGAGAUCAAUAUCGUGUUAAGAAACUCUCAAUACCUCAUCCCUCGCAGCACCAGAUGUCACAGAACCCAUAGCUUCCACAACAUGAUUUGAAGAAUCACCAGUUAUACUCCUUGCGAGAAAAACUGUAUACUGCAUUUUUGGGAGCAAGCACUUGUAAUGCAUAUUCUGAACGUAUUAAUUCAUGCGAAUCAUGAAAGAAUUUGUAAUAAAGAAUGUGCCUUUGAGGCAUUAGAUCUGAUAAACAAUAUAACUUCCAGCUAAUUUCAAUAUGGCUUUGAAUUGAUCGAUGUGCCUUUAUUUUCCGUUAAUAAGAUUCAAGAGUACGGUGUGCUGGAUUGGACGAGGGUGAGUAGGUAAGUUUUUAUUAUUAUAUGUUCCUUUUGUAUUUGCUAAGAGUAUUGCCAAUUAUUUAGACAAAUAAUUCUUAAAAAAAAUUGUGACUGUUAAUGAUUACGGUGACAUUUCCAUUUCAAUGAAUGAUUCUUAGUUUGGACCAUUUCAAGGUUUGUUGAUCUUUGGCUUCGGAAUCUCUUUGGAUCAUCAUGGACAUUUCUCACCGUCAUCGUGGUGUAAGCAUACAUGGUUGGAUUUCUUCUGUUAGAUGAAAGGAACGAGUUUCAGUCCAUAGUAUUUGUUUCUUCAUGUGCAGCUAAGUUCUGUAUUGGUUAGGCGAGAAUGUUUUGGCGGUUCGGAAGCCUCUUCUUGCUGUUUUGUGAGUACGAAGAUGGCAUCUGCUAAGGCGGAAGCAAAUGAAUUUGAGGAGUUCAAUCAUUUUUUGUAGAGUGUAACAUCUGACUCAAGAAUAAGGACAAUACGUGCUGCCAACUGUGGACCUUAAUCAUACCCUUGGAACCUCAUACGAUGUGGAGGAUGAGAAAUACAUGACACCAUAUAAAUGCCGCAAUUCAGCGUGUCGUCGACAACUAAGGAUAUGAUGUAUAAAGGGUAGCUGGGAAUAACAAAACAAACCACAUUAAAUCAUUCACAUGAUUUCAGAAAUGAGUGAUUAAAGAGGGCUAUUUAUUGCUCAAUUAGGGUUUAUUUGAAUGACUAUUUAUGUUUUGUUUUUUUUGCAGUUAAUUGCCUAUACAAAUGAUAAUUGUUGAGGAUAAAUUACAAUGUGAAAGUCCAACGAGUUUGUAGCUCAAAGUCCCAUCUAUAUCGGUUAGUUGCUAUAUUUAUUCAGGUUAUUAGUUUUAACAACGCCCCAGCAACAUAAAUACAUGGCCGCACAGGUUAGAGACAAAACAAACAAAUUAAGGUGUACCCGGUGCGAACCACGAUUUGCUAUCUAGUUUUGCUUAUUGGGAUGCAUGGUGGGAAACCCCAUUAUUGGUG